rnacentral:rRNA from 1 species
CACUGCAUGCCUAGUACGGCGAGUGAACAGGCAAGAGCUCAGAUUUGAAAGGCACUUUUGUGCCGUUGUAUUCUGAAGUUAGGGUCCUGAGAAACGAUGCUUAAGUCUUCUGGAAAGGAGCGCCAUGGAGGGUGAUAGCCCCGUCUAGCAUUGACCUCAUAUAGGAUCUUAACAUGGAGUCGAGUUGUUUGGGAAUGCAGCUCAAAUGGGUGGUAUGCUCCAUCUAAAGCUAAAUAUCUGCGAGAGACCGAUAGUAAACAAGUACUGUGAGGGAAAGAUGAAAAGAACUUUGAAAAGAGAGUGAAAAAGUACGUGAAAUUGUUGAAAUGGAAGGGUAGGCCGCUAACCAUGUAGAGCCGUGUUUGGGGGGAAGAUAAAUGCUGUAGAAUGUAGCUCCUCGGAGUAUUAUAGAUGCAGUUCAUAUUCCCACCCGAGCGCGAGGAUCUCAGGUUCUACUAAAUGGUGGUCUACCACCCGUCUUGAAACCACGGAC